rnacentral:rRNA from 1 species
UUGGAGGGCAAGUCUGGUGCCAGCAGCCGCGGUAAUUCCAGCUCCAAUAGCGUAUAUUAAAGUUGUUGCAGUUAAAAAGCUCGUAGUUGAAUUUCGGGGUUAGUAGGUUGGUCAUGCCUCUGGUAUGUACUGGUCUCACUGAUUCCUCCUUCCUGAUGAGCCGUAAUGCCAUUAAUUUGGUGUUGCGGGGAAUUUGGACUGUUACUUUGAAAAAAUUAGAGUGUUUAAAGCAAGCUAACGCUUGAAUACAUUAGCAUGGAAUAAUGAAAUGGGACGUUCGAUCCUAUUUUGUUGGUUUCUAGGAUUGACGUAAUGAUUAAUAGGGAUAGUUGGGGGCAUUAGUAUUCAAUUGUCAGAGGUGAAAUUCUUGGAUUUAUUGAAGACUAACUACUGCGAAAGCAUUUGCCAAGGAUGUUUUCAUUAAUCAAGAACGAAAGUUAGGGGAUCGAAGACGAUCAGAUACCGUCGUAGUCUUAACCAUAAACUAUGCCGACUAGGGAUCGGAUGAUGUUAAUUUUUUAAUGACUCAUUCGGCGCCUUACGGGAAAC